AGGACGAACGCUGGCGGCGUGCUUAACACAUGCAAGUCGAACGAUGAACUCACCUUCGGGUGGGGGAUUAGUGGCGAACGGGUGAGUAACACGUGGGCAACCUGCCCCUGACUCUGGGAUAACUCCGGGAAACCGGAGCUAAUACCGGAUAUGAACACGAAGGACAUCCUUUGUGUUGGAAAGUUUUUUCGGUCAGGGAUGGGCCCGCGGCCUAUCAGCUAGUUGGUGGGGUAAUGGCCCACCAAGGCGACGACGGGUA
rnacentral:rRNA from 1 species